rnacentral:lncRNA from 10 species
AGGACGCGCGCCUCCCAGGUGCCAGAGUUCGUAUAUGACUCCAGUCCUGGCGCUGGAUGCUGCUGCUGUUCCAGCUUCCUAGGUGUGGAAACUGAAGGACCAAGAGAUUAAACAGUGGUGCAAAAGUGGUAAGAAUUCAGCAUUCUCCUCGACAAGUGGACGAGCAUCUACUGUGCUUUCACAGCGGCUAUCACUAUUGCCAGCAGCAAGACUGUCAGCUCGGCGCCCUCGUCUGGUUGGAUGGGAAACUGCAGUUGCUAAGGGAGCUGGGUUUGAAUCUCUGAGGACAAAUGGGAAUUCUCACUGAUUUCUAGGACUACCCUGGGGCAGGCACCCUGCACAGCAAUACACACUGAACAAUGUCGAGUUUCUGCUGAAUAGACUUCCUACGUUGCUCUGGAAUUCGAAGUUGGCCUAACUGAGGUCUCCAGUUACAGAAAACACUGGCUCUGUAUCCUGGGCUUUGAGAAAACUUAUCAGGCUGUCACACUUACCAUCCCUUCAGUCUGCUUGUCAGGUUCCUUAAGGACGCAUAUCUCAAAUGUAUGGCAUCUACCUCUACCUGGGUCACAACCAAGUGGGUUUCUACUAGAUCGGUGUUCCUUGACAGCCAACAAGGGAGCUGACACUGCCCUCCUAAGUUCUGAUCUUGCUCCUGUUCAACUGGAACUUGAUGGAUCCCAUGUGGUUUCCCCCAUCCUGACGCUGUGGCUCAGACACUCUCCCUAAGCUGGUCCUUCCCUCCAAAUCCUGCCUUAAACACACUCAGAAGGUAGAAAACACUUCAGCAGCAAAGUCCUCUUCCCAAGCCAACAGUUGUGUUCUUCCAAUCACAUGAUCUUACCUUUUCAAUAAAAGGCAAAACAAACCAAUUUCCAACAUAGCAUUACAGCCUUUAAAACCAUUCACUUCUCAUAGUGAUUCACAGAGAACAAGAGAUUAAAGUGCUGGAUUUUAAAUGUCUAAAGUUGCCUUCAGGGCUACAAAAAGCCCUGCCGUGUGUGUUUUUCCUUCAUGGUGUUGAGGGGAAGGAAAGAUAGGGAAGGGCAGUGGGGAGAAACCCUAAAAUUUUCAAUCAGAAACUGGAAAUUGUAAAAGUGGGAGGUGGGGAGUUCUGUGCAAAUCAAUCUCCCAAGGUUCUGCGUCCUCUAGUGAGCCUCAAAGAAAAAAAAAAAAACAAAAAGGUGGGGACUCGCAAAAAGGAUGAGGGAAAGGCUAAAUGUGUGGUAGAGGACAAAAAACAAAAACAAAC